rnacentral:misc_RNA from 1 species
CAACCCUGUGAAGGCGUAUUCUGUCCAAUUCUGUCUGACGUUACUGUGCGAUAUAACUGUGAAGUGUAGGUAUUGUCAAUUUUCUUAUUCCUGUUACAGAUCAAUUCAAAUUUAAAUCCUAGAUUGAUUGCCCAAGUUUGCUAUGGCAGUAGAUGGCGGUGAUACAUUAAAAGACUUAAGUAAGGAUAAAUGCGUAAACCCUCGUGCCCAAUUUUACAAGAAACCCAUAAGAAAGGAUAACUACAAUUUGGAUGUCGAUAACAUUGAUUCUCCACAAGAGAUCAGAAGACAGCAACUCCUUCAGCAUCAAAAAAAGAGCCGAGAUGCUGCUUUUAAUAUUGGGCGAGGCCUCGUGGAAGAAGCCUUCAACUCAGAAGAUGAAAAUGACAAUGAAAUGGAAGUGGAUAGACACAAGGAAUAUAAAGUCAAGAAGUACAAAAAUUAUGGAAAUAGGUUGAUGUUAUCCGAGUGGAUGUUGGAAGUGCCUCAAGAUUUUUUAGAAAAAUGGACAAUGGUGCCUUGCCCAAUAGGGCAGAGGACGCAAAUAAUAGCUUGCAAAGGGUCGACAAAAGCAUUUAACAGACGUGGUCUACGACUUGGAAAAUUUAGCUCAGCCCUGCCAGGUGGAAAUUCUGAAAAUCAGAGAAAUAGUUGUACCAUAUUGGAUUGCAUCUGGGUGAAAGAACUGAAAACAUAUUAUGCACUAGACAUUUUGGCAUGGUCGAACCAGACAUUCUUGAACUGUGAAGCGGAAUUCAGGCUUUUUUGGCUGAAUGCACAGCUGCAAGAUAUAAAAGUGUUGAAGGAGAGAGAAUACCGUGUAAAUAGUUUUCCAAUUUUGCCUUUACCACAAAUACCUUGUGAUCAAAAUCUCUCUGAGCUUUUAAAUACUAUACAUGACUUACCGACUUUGGAUGGAUUACUAUUUUAUCACCGAGAAGGAUUAUACACCUGUGGACGUUCACCUCUUGUGACUUGGCUAAAAAGUUUUAUGCUACCAGAAGUGUUGGGUAUUCGAGUACCUCCUCCAUUUGAUGAAAAACCCGAUGGAUAUAUUGAUUUUAAACAUUACAUUCAAUCUAGUACUGCGAAAAGAAAAAAAGGGAAAUUAACGGAGAGUAAAAUGGAGGUUGUAGAAGUGAAUGCGUAAUGAAUUAGCAAAUGCAAUAUUAUGUAUUCAAUUGAUGAUAUUGAAAUGUUUCAAUUGAAAUCCCAUUUCACACAAUGACGCAUAAUAAUAUAAUUUAAAUAAAACGCAAGUUACGUUCGAACAGACAUGAAGGUCGUGCAAAAAUGUGUGACCCAGGUAUGAAGAUUCAAAAUAAGGUCGAUAUUCCAUAAGCGUUACAGCGAUAAGC